UACGUAGGUGGCAAGCGUUGUCCGGAAUUAUUGGGCGUAAAGAGCUCGUAGGCGGCUUGUUGCGUCGGUUGUGAAAGCCCGGGGCUUAACCCCGGGUCUGCAGUCGGUACGGGCAGGCUAGAGUGUGGUAGGGGAGAUCGGAAUUCCUGGUGUAGCGGUGAAAUGCGCAGAUAUCAGGAGGAACACCGGUGGCGAAGGCGGAUCUCUGGGCCAUUACUGACGCUGAGGAGCGAAAGCGUGGGGAGCGAACAGG
rnacentral:rRNA from 1 species